rnacentral:lncRNA from 1 species
GGAGCUUCCAAAAGAUAAAAUGACUCUCAAAACAGCUCUAAAGGGAUCCUUACAACAUGCAAAUAAAUCUCUAGCAAAACUCUCUCUGUCCAGUCUGAGCAGACAGUCAUUAUUUUACUCUGAUAAUUUUGGAGAAAAAAGUGCUUCAUUUUCAAAGAGAUUCACAGAGAAGAUCCCUGCAAACACUCUAAAAUGCCAGUUUUCUCGUAACUUUAGGAUCAUGACACUGAACUGGAUGCAGAAAACAGACAACAGAUACACGAAGCUGGUGAGAAACACAGAAAAUGUAUCCCAUGGCUAUAUGUGGAUUCUCAGAAUAAGAAACUUCCAUUUACUUUCUCACACUUUUCCACAUUUUUCAAAUUUUUCAAAAUAAGCACAUAUUUCUUCUGUGAUUUUUUUUUCUGAUCACUUUUUACCAAUCACAAAACACUAUUCUCCUCAAGAACUAAUAAAUAGGAAAAAUAUACUCUGAAAUAAAGAGAAGCUUAAGUUGUG